rnacentral:rRNA from 1 species
GGACGAACGCUGGCGGCGUGCUUAACACAUGCAAGUCGAGCGGUAAGGCCCUUUCGGGGGUACACGAGCGGCGAACGGGUGAGUAACACGUGGGUGACCUGCCCUCAGCUCUGGGAUAAGCCUGGGAAACCGGGUCUAAUACUGGAUAUGACUCCAUGACGCAUGUUGUGGGGUGGAAAGCCUUGUGCGGCUGAGGAUGGGCCCGCGGCCUAUCAGCUUGUUGGGGGGUGAUGGCCUACCAAGGCGACGACGGGUAGCCGGCCUGAGAGGGCGACCGGCCACACUGGGACUGAGACACGGCCCAGACUCCUACGGGAGGCAGCAGUGGGGAAUCUUGCGCAAUGGGCGAAAGCCUGACGCAGCGACGCCGCGUGAGGGA